UACGUAGGUGGCAAGCGUUGUCCGGAUUUAUUGGGUUUAAAGGGUGCGUAGGCGGCUUUGUAAGUCAGUGGUGAAAUAUGGCAGCUUAACUGUCAAGGUGCCAUUGAUACUGCGGAGCUUGAGUACAGAUGAGGUAGGCGGAAUUGACGGUGUAGCGGUGAAAUGCUUAGAUAUCGGAAGGAACAUCAGUGGCGAAAGCGACUUCCUGGACCAGUACCGACGUUCAGGCACGAAAGCGUGGGGAGCAAACAGG
rnacentral:rRNA from 1 species